UUGGCCCUGAAUCAAGGCUGGUGGCUUGCUGUAGCUGCUGGUUUCAAGCAGGAGCCCAAAGAAAUGGCUUCCUGUGGUCUGUUGGCUGUUCCAUAAUGUCAUACUGGAACAGUCAAUUCAGUUGGAAGCAACAACC